GUGCUUGCAUAAGCAACACAUAUACUAAAAUUGGAAUGAUACAGAGAAGAAGAGCAUGACUUCUGCACAAGGAUGUCACACAAAUCUGUGAAAUGUUCCAUAUUUUU
ensembl:snRNA U6 U6 spliceosomal RNA